rnacentral:rRNA from 1 species
GGGUUGUGAGGUUAAGCGACUAAGCGUACACGGUGGAUGCCCUGGCAGUCAGAGGCGAUGAAGGACGUGCUAAUCUGCGAAAAGCGUCGGUAAGGUGAUAUGAACCGUUAUAGCCGGCGAUGUCCGAAUGGGGAAACCCAGUGUGAUUCGUCACACUAUCGUUAACUGAAUACAUAGGUUAACGAGGCGAACCGGGGGAACUGAAACAUCUAAGUACCCCGAGGAAAAGAAAUCAACCGAGAUUCCCCCAGUAGCGGCGAGCGAACGGGGAGCAGCCCAGAGUCUGAAUCAGCUUGUGUGUUAGUGGAACGGUCUGGAAAGUCCGACGGUACAGGGUGAUAGUCCCGUACACCAAAAUGCACAGGUUGUGAACUCGAAGAGUAGGGCGGGACACGUGGUAUCCUGUCUGAAUAUGGGGGGACCAUCCUCCAAGGCUAAAUACUCCUGACUGACCGAUAGUGAACCAGUACCGUGAGGGAAAGGCGAAAAGAACCCCGGCGAGGGGAGUGAAAAAGAACCUGAAACCGUGUACGUACAAGCAGUGGGAGCACCUUCGGGUGUGACUGCGUACCUUUUGUAUAAUGGGUCAGCGACUUAUAUUCUGUAGCAAGGUUAACCGUAUAGGGGAGCCGCAGGGAAACCGAGUCUUAACUGGGCGUUAAGUUGCAGGGUAUAGACCCGAAACCCGGUGAUCUAGCCAUGGGCAGGUUGAAGGUUGGGUAACACUAACUGGAGGACCGAACCGACUAAUGUUGAAAAAUUAGCGGAUGACUUGUGGCUGGGGGUGAAAGGCCAAUCAAACCGGGAGAUAGCUGGUUCUCCCCGAAAGCUAUUUAGGUAGCGCCUCGUGAACUCAUCUUCGGGGGUAGAGCACUGUUUCGGCUAGGGGGUCAUCCCGACUUACCAACCCGAUGCAAACUACGAAUACCGAAGAAUGUUAUCACGGGAGACACACGGCGGGUGCUAACGUCCGUCGUGAAGAGGGAAACAACCCAGACCGCCAGCUAAGGUCCCAAAGUCACAGUUAAGUGGGAAACGAUGUGGGAAGGCACAGACAGCCAGGAUGUUGGCUUAGAAGCAGCCAUCAUUUAAAGAAAGCGUAAUAGCUCACUGGUCGAGUCGGCCUGCGCGGAAGAUGUAACGGGGCUAAACUGUGCACCGAAGCUGCGGCAGCGACACUAUGUGUUGUUGGGUAGGGGAGCGUUCUGUAAGCCUGCGAAGGUGGCCUGUGAGGGUUGCUGGAGGUAUCAGAAGUGCGAAUGCUGACAUAAGUAACGAUAAUGCGGGUGAAAAGCCCGCACGCCGGAAGACCAAGGGUUCCUGUCCAACGUUAAUCGGGGCAGGGUGAGUCGACCCCUAAGGCGAGGCCGAAAGGCGUAGUCGAUGGGAAACAGGUUAAUAUUCCUGUACUUGGUGUUACUGCGAAGGGGGGACGGAGAAGGCUAUGUUAGCCGGGCGACGGUUGUCCCGGUUUAAGCAUGUAGGCGGAGGUUCCAGGUAAAUCCGGUACCUUUUAACGCUGAGGUGUGAUGACGAGGCACUACGGUGCUGAAGUAACAAAUGCCCUGCUUCCAGGAAAAGCCUCUAAGCAUCAGGUAACAUUGAAUCGUACCCCAAACCGACACAGGUGGUCAGGUAGAGAAUACCAAGGCGCUUGAGAGAACUCGGGUGAAGGAACUAGGCAAAAUGGUGCCGUAACUUCGGGAGAAGGCACGCUGAUAUGUAGGUGAAGCCCCUGCGGGUGGAGCUGAAAUCAGUCGAAGAUACCAGCUGGCUGCAACUGUUUAUUAAAAACACAGCACUGUGCAAACACGAAAGUGGACGUAUACGGUGUGACGCCUGCCCGGUGCCGGAAGGUUAAUUGAUGGGGUUAUCCGUAAGGAGAAGCUCUUGAUCGAAGCCCCGGUAAACGGCGGCCGUAACUAUAACGGUCCUAAGGUAGCGAAAUUCCUUGUCGGGUAAGUUCCGACCUGCACGAAUGGCGUAAUGAUGGCCAGGCUGUCUCCACCCGAGACUCAGUGAAAUUGAACUCGCUGUGAAGAUGCAGUGUACCCGCGGCAAGACGGAAAGACCCCGUGAACCUUUACUAUAGCUUGACACUGAACAUUGAGCCUUGAUGUGUAGGAUAGGUGGGAGGCUUUGAAGCGUGGACGCCAGUCUGCGUGGAGCCAACCUUGAAAUACCACCCUUUAAUGUUUGAUGUUCUAACGUUGGCCCCUGACCGGGGUUGCGGACAGUGUCUGGUGGGUAGUUUGACUGGGGCGGUCUCCUCCCAAAGAGUAACGGAGGAGCACGAAGGUUAGCUAAUCCUGGUCGGACAUCAGGAGGUUAGUGCAAUGGCAUAAGCUAGCUUGACUGCGAGCGUGACGGCGCGAGCAGGUGCGAAAGCAGGUCAUAGUGAUCCGGUGGUUCUGAAUGGAAGGGCCAUCGCUCAACGGAUAAAAGGUACUCCGGGGAUAACAGGCUGAUACCGCCCAAGAGUUCAUAUCGACGGCGGUGUUUGGCACCUCGAUGUCGGCUCAUCACAUCCUGGGGCUGAAGUAGGUCCCAAGGGUAUGGCUGUUCGCCAUUUAAAGUGGUACGCGAGCUGGGUUUAGAACGUCGUGAGACAGUUCGGUCCCUAUCUGCCGUGGGCGCUGGAGAAUUGAGGGGGGCUGCUCCUAGUACGAGAGGACCGGAGUGGACGCAUCACUGGUGUUCGGGUUGUCAUGCCAAUGGCAUUGCCCGGUAGCUAAAUGCGGAAGAGAUAAGUGCUGAAAGCAUCUAAGCACGAAACUUGCCCCGAGAUGAGUUCUCCCUGAGACUUUAAGUCUCCUGAAGGAACGUUAAAGACGAUGACGUUGAUAGGUCGGGUGUGUAAGCGUAGCGAUACGUUGAGCUAACCGAUACUAAUGAACCGUGAGGCUUAACCUUA